CGUUCGCACGGAGCGGUUGCGUCGCGUGGCGUGCGUGGGACAUACGGCGAUCGCGAGCCCGUGCGUAGUGUUUCGCUUCCCGUAGGACUGAACUGUUGCGUUAGUAGUGACGACCGGUGACACACGCUUUCGAGUGGACUUUUCUUGUCGCCGUAGGUGGGACUGUGUUCUUCAAAUCUGCGCUCGUUUCUCGGAGGUGAUAGCAUGUGGUGAGCUCGCUUCCAGAUCUGUGUUUACAAUAGCGCCGGUGGCAACGCCCUGAGAUGUCUGCUGGCCUAUCCCAGAGUGCUUGAACAGAGGUGCGGAAUCUGAAACCGUGGCAGUCGAUUCACAGGGUAAACGUCUGAGCGUUCUUCAGGAUCACAUUCCGCAGUUCGUUCCUUGAGACAUCAGUCUAGAAGUGGGUGGUUUUUGGACGAGGAGACCUCUGUUGUGUAUUAAGGAAUGCUAUGGAGGAUACAUGGACUUGGACGUAACUCGCCUCAGCGACCAACAGGCGACAUAUUUUGAGGCGUGA